CAAAUAAUUACAUUAUCUUCCAUAUUCCUAGAUACCUUGUAACUGGAGAUUCCUUCAAAACGAUUGACUACAGUUAACGUGUAGGGCACUGCAAGGUUGGGUGACCAGGGCCAUCUGGGAAUGCCUCCUGGAGGAAUUCAGGUGUGUGAAGGCUACCUGUGUCCUGCAUAACUUCAUGAGGAUGGACACGAGAACAAGGAGGGGAUCUGCAGCUCGCCGCCAUGUGCCAGAGAAGUCUGCUGCUCUGCAGGAUGUUUCAAGGAUGAGGUCCAACAACGCAGCAAGAGGCAAUCUGUGUACAGGAGAUCUUCACCUCCUACUUCUUUGAAGAGGGUGCUGUUCCCUGGGAACACCAUAGACUACACUAUGCACAACCAAAGGCUCUUUUAAGAGCCAUUCACAUUGCAAUAAGAGUAUUUUUCCAUUUACUUAUGUCAACUGCAGUUAUUCAGUUCCCAGUUUCUCUCCCUUUGAUUUCUUCUUCUCAGGUGAGGAUGCUGUGAUGUCUGUACAAAAACAAAGAGACACCCUAUAACCCACACCCAUUUAUCAAUCUGAUUGGAUUGUGUUAUGCAGUAAGCAGGCUCAUGUGUAAUACUGUGGCUCCUUCCACCUUCAAAGAAUAGGCAAGAGGGCCAACCAUGGAGAAUAGUAAAACACUAAAUUAUUUCUAUAACUAUGCUAUAUUGUUUGUCCUCGUGUGUCUGUUUGUUUUGCAGCAUAAAGUACUCUGCAGCCAGCGUGGUGCGGACACCAGGUUAUAUCAGCUGUGUUGGUGAACCCCUUCCGCAACUGAACUGGCUAAAUAGAGGGCACAGCAUGAUCAGAGUUAUGUUUUGAUGUGAGAGAGGAUGCCAUUCCCCCGUCCCAUCAUCGCCAGCUCACCUGCUUUUAAGAUAAACUUCGGGCCGACUAGACGCUAUUAUGUAAUUGUGACGAACAGAGAAUAUUUGGGUAGCACUGGGAUUCAAUUCAAUAUGCUGCCUUUCCUGCUCCUAUAUUCUUAUACCUCUCACCUCCUUUCUUCCUCUGUUUUUAUAAAUGCACAAGAGAUGUGCAUUGAAGAACAGAUUGAACUUGUAUUUAUAAUACUACAAUUAUAAAUGCAUGCAUUUAUAACACUUGGAUAAUUUACUUCUUUCAAAACGUUUCACAUUCUCUACUGGUUGAAAUACUAAACAUAUCCUGUGUUAAUCAGAUCAAUGCAGAUGAAGGGCAUUAGAUAUUGCAAUUAACUGGUUUUAGAGUAUUUACAUGAUGCAUAGGAAGUGUAGUGUUCUGCUGUUUAAAUCAUAUAUGAAUUGUAAAUCAGCCAUUAACUAGUUAAAUCCUUUUUCUAGUCUAUUCAUUACAAUGUGUAUCCAUUGUCCCAGGACCAAGAUUAGUAAACACUGUUGAAGUGUAUACUGCAAUUGUAAUACAUGCAUGCAGACACAUCAUUCAAAGACUGGAAUUUGAUACUCCUGGUAUUGGAUAUGACUGAAAUAAUCUCAGACACUCAUACCUGAAAUGCACCUUUA